rnacentral:rRNA from 1 species
CCUACGGGUGGCAGCAGUGGGGAAUAUUGCACAAUGGGGGGAACCCUGAUGCAGCGACGCCGCGUGAGUGAAGAAGUAUUUCGGUAUGUAAAGCUCUAUCAGCAGGGAAGAAAAUGACGGUACCUGACUAAGAAGCCCCGGCUAACUACGUGCCAGCAGCCGCGGUAAUACGUAGGGGGCAAGCGUUAUCCGGAUUUACUGGGUGUAAAGGGAGCGCAGACGGCUGUGCAAGUCUGGAGUGAAAGGGGGGGGCCCAACCCCCGGACUGCUCUGGAAACUGUAAAGCUGGAGUGCAGGAGAGGUAAGCGGAAUUCCUAGUGUAGCGGUGAAAUGCGUAGAUAUUAGGAGGAACACCAGUGGCGAAGGCGGCUUACUGGACUGCAACUGACGUUGAGGCUCGAAAGCGUGGGGAGCAAACAGGAUUAGAUACCCGAGUAGUC